GGCUCAGCAGGUCAGGAACCUGACCUAGUGCCCAUGAGGCUGUGGGUUCAAACCUUGGCUUCUCUCAGUGGGUUAAGGAUCUGACAUUGCUGCCAGCGGUGGCAUAGUCACAGAUACAGCUCAAACUCAGAGUUGCUAGGGCUGUGGCGGAGCCUGCAGCUGCACCUCAGAUUCAACCCCGAGCUCGGGAACUUCCCUGUGUCACAGGUGUGGCCAUAAAAAGAAAAAAAAAAGAGGAAAAGAUGCUGUCCUUGGAGCUUAUUGUCAUCUAAAAGGGUUAAAGACAUGUCUUUACUAAAAGGAUUUAUGUCAGGAACCACUAAUAUCUCAAGCAGUGCUUUCCUUUACAAAUCAGACUUAAAAUUAGUGCUAUAGCUUUUUCUACCUAUGUCCAAAAUGGACACCAGCAUAAUAGAUGAAACAUUUUCUUUUUAACCUUUUAAUUUUAUACCCACAUAGUACCCAGCGCAGCAUCUUAUAUAAAAGAGAUGAUCCAUAAAUAAGUGCUGAAUUGAAUGGACGCGUCAACUUGCUAACAUUCCAUAAAGGGAGCCUAGUGAAGAACGCCCAAAUUAUGUUACUCACUCCUUGGCUUAAAACCCUCGAUGGCUCUCCAUCACCUACCUUAGGAUGAAGUCCAAACAUCUAUUUAGCUCCGUAUUUCUAGCUUCAUCAGUUAUCAACAUUUUUCCAGGUACUGGGGGAAUAUAGUAAUAUCGAAAUAAAAUGACUUUUGAGAGUAAAAUCUUAAGAGCAACACAGAAUGGGAUCCAAACAGAGAUAGGCAACCUCAUUGGAAAGAGACGAAAUUCUUCCCUAGUUGGUAAGAUCUGCUGUAAACUGACUGAAUAUAUUAACGUACAAGUGAAAGCUGUGUCCUUCAGAAAAGGAGAGUGAGGAAGGAUGGGAUGUACAAUGGCAAGGGUAUAUGAACGCAUUUCUCUCUUGGUCUCAUUGGUAAACCUCUGCCCACAGUGAGUUGGCUGCAUCCAACUAUUUAUCAUUUGAUAAAUAUCUAGUUAUCACCCUUCCAAUUUCAUACCCACCAACCAACCUUAUGAAUAUGACAUGAUUUCCUAGAGACAUCUCCCUUUUUGAGCUAUAAAUCUCCAUAUCCUACUGAUUACUAGAUAUCUCUACUCGAAGGUCUCACGGGCACUUCGAAUUGACCACAUCCAAAAGUGGACCAGUCCCCCUAAACGAUUCGGUUCUGUGUCUCAGUAAAUGGCAUCACCAUCCAUCCAUGCAAACCAGAAACCUGAGAUCCUCCUCUCUGAGCAAUUCACCUUAUUUCACCCAGCAGUAAAUACCACCAACCCUGCUGUGUUUUUCUAACCCAUUCACUCCUCUCCGUUCCCACUGUCAUCACCCAAGGCCAAGUUAACAAAUAUCUCUCUUAGCAGAUCGUGCUCCUACUUUUACCAGGGAGGAUAUUUUUUAAAUAUUCAAGCAAUGUAAUGAAUUGCAAUCCUCUGCCCCUAUCCAUUUUUACAGCUGAACCACAACUAUGUUUAUUUUUCCAACUGGGGAGGGGGGAAGGAGAUGACAACAACCAAGAAGCACACAGUUUGAGUCUCCAAGCUCAUGUGUCUGACUGCGGUCGCUAGACAGAAGCCUCUAAACGGAAUCUUACAGAGCACAAGAAAGGGGAUUCUCAAUUCCAUAGUAAGAUCUUCGGCUUUUACCCUGGGCUUUAGUGUUUGACGACAGGCUGAGAGAGAGAGGAUACAAAAUGGGGCUAGAGAAAUGAGUGAGGCCACCUUUCCAGCCCAGGGUGCAGACGAGGAAGAAGACGGGCAGAGGUAGCAGGAGCAGACCCAGAAAUGUGUCUUGACCGCUUCGCUGGGUGGCAGUGCAGGAGCGGGUCGACAAGUAAAGAGUUUUUCUCCACUUCCGGCCUGGAAACAUCUUAGCAGCUGCUCCCCAACCUCCAACCUGGAGCAACUCAGCAAGAUAAAGGCGGAGGAUGGGCAUGGACCAGGUGGAGAGACAGCCUGAGUCCAGCUCCCCAGUGGCUCCCCUGUCUUCAGUGUAGUACAGAAGGAGGCAGAAGGUCCUGUGUGCUCUGGGCAGGGAUAAGGGCACUCAAGGAUGGUGUUGGCUGGGGAACCUCCCAGGGACCAGGGCUGGGGGUGGGUGUAUCAUACUAGAAUCCAGGUGGGACCCAGAGCCAGACUUCCCACAGUCAGGAUGCAGCAACGCCCGGAGAGCUAGGAUGCAAAUGAGGCAGAGAAAGGCUCCUCUGGCCCCAACCAAGCGGAAACUGAAGAGAGUGAGUUCACCAGGCACCGAGCUGAGCCGCAGAUGGAGGCAGGGCAGCAGUGACCAGGAGGACCAUGAUGUGCCACUCCUGCAGGGGGCAGUGGUGAGCACCCAGAGACCCCCAAGUUGGGUACCAGGCUCCGUUCCACCUGCACCAUCUUGGGGAGAAGGAGGCUGGGUGGGUAACUCUGAGCAGUUACCUGAAAGGGACUAUUUCAUGGGAAAGAAAAUGAUUUAAAACUGCAAGAGAUUAAGACAUAAUGUAUUUCCUGCUCCCCACUGGAGGAGGAACUUGGAGUGUGAGUAAAUUUUCACACACUCUGGCUCUCCUCCUGUGCACUCCCAACUUACAGCCAGAGUGGAUUUUCGACAAGCCAUCUCCAAUUAUACCCGAAGGUUUUCCUUUGUCCAUUCCAUAGUGAUCAAAAUCCCUAAUGUGACCCAUACGUCCUUCCCAACCAGGCCCUCCUGUGCGCUCUGCUUCACCAAGCUCCUCUCUCAAUCCUUCUCCACUAUUGUCCAGGCACAAGGGCCUUCAGAGUUUCCUGAGCUUGCAUUCCCUCAGCCCAGAAUGUUACUGCCAACAUCCCUCCCUCACUCCAAAUUCUGCCCCUCAUUUAAGUCAGAAUUUAACUUUUGCUUCCUCGGGCAGGUUCGUUCUAACCAGAAUUUUUAUCCCUGUGAAAUUCUAGAUGACACAUCAAAAAAACAAAACAAAACAAAACAAAACAAAACAAAACUUCAUUUCCCGACUGCAGGAAUUCUCAGAGCCUUUACUAGGCUCUUGUAAACUCUGAGAAGCAGGAAUAGAGUUUGCACAUUUUCCUAAACUUAUCUACCUGGGAACAUGUUUCUUCAUCUCAAAGAAUGCAUACCAGCAAGAAAUCAUUUGGUAAGUGCUGAUUCAUGGUGAUUCCAGGGAAUCACAGAACCAAGAAUCAUGUUUCUAGGAAGACCAAAAAAGAAAGUAAGGCUUCUUGGAGGAGGAGAGAAAUACCAGUCUUAUCAUGGGAAGAAAUGUUGAGUUUCCGCAGAGGAGGCGAUAAGGCCGCAAGACAGCCAAGGAGAGAAAAAGAAAACGACAGGUGCAACCAUCAGCCCAAUCAAGAAGAUCAGAGGUGAAGUAAGGAGUCUUCCCCCCGGGAGCUCACUGAUGGCUCAGCAGGUUAGGGAUCCAGCAUUGUCACUGCUGUGGCAAGGGUUUGAUUCCUGGCCCAGGAACUUCCACACUGCAGGCAUGGCCAAAAAUAACAAAAUGAGUCUUCCCUGUGUUGGAUGCUCGGAGCACCUUUUUCUCCUGCCACAGGCUGCACUAGAGCUGGUCCCAAUCCAGGGAGACCAGCCAGUGC
rnacentral:lncRNA from 1 species